rnacentral:rRNA from 1 species
AACGAACGCUGGCGGCGUGCCUAACACAUGCAAGUCGAACGAGAAAAUGGGCUUCGGCCUAUGAGUAAAGUGGCAGACGGGUGAGUAACACGUGGGUAACCUGCCCGGAGGUGGGGGAUAACCCUCCGAAAGGAGGGCUAAUACCGCAUGAUAUCUCGGUGUCUUCGGACUCUGCGAUCAAAACCAGCCUCUCCCUGGAAGCUGGUGCCACCGGAGGGGCCCGCGCCCCAUUAGCUAGUUGGGAGGUAACGGCUCACCAAGGCGACGAUGGGUAGCCGGCCUGAGAGGGUGAUCGGCCACACUGGAACUGAAACACGGUCCAGACUCCUACGGGAGGCAGCAGUGAGGAAUCUUGCGCAAUGGGCGAAAGCCUGACGCAGCGACGCCGCGUGGAGGACGAA